UUUUUGCGUUAGGGUUUGCAGUAAAAAUCCUUUUUAGGCUUUUUCUGCCUCAAAAAGAUUGUAACCUAAAGCCUGACCCUUG
rnacentral:sRNA from 1 species